AUUGAACGCUGGCGGCAGGCCUAACACAUGCAAGUCGGACGGUAGCACAGAGAGCUUGCUCUCGGGUGACGAGUGGCGGACGGGUGAGUAAUGUCUGGGGAUCUGCCCGAUAGAGGGGGAUAACCACUGGAAACGGUGGCUAAUACCGCAUAACGUCGCAAGACCAAAGAGGGGGACCUUCGGGCCUCUCACUAUCGGAUGAACCCAGAUGGGAUUAGCUAGUAGACGGGGUAACGGCCCACCUAGGCGACGAUCCCUAGCUGGUCUGAGAGGAUGACCAGCCACACUGGAACUGAGACACGGUCCAGACUCCUACGGGAGGCAGCAGUGGGGAAUAUUGCACAAUGGGCGCAAGCCUGAUGCAGCCAUGCCGCGUGUAUGAAGAAGGCCUUCGGGUUGUAAAGUACUUUCAGCGGGGAGGAAGGCGAUGUGGUUAAUAACCGCAUUGAUUGACGUUACCCGCAGAAGAAGCACCGGCUAACUCCGUGCCAGCCGCCGCGGUAA
rnacentral:rRNA from 1 species